ACCCUCUCCGCUGCCGCCUCCCCUCGCCCACCUCGACGGCCAUGUUCGUGGGUGGGGAGAGGCCAGCCCGACCCUCGGACGGCGGGACUCGCGGGCUACUUUAGGAGGAAGAGCAAGCUCCAUAACAGACAGAAGUUUAAAUUGUCAUUCCCAACUGCUAAUCAGGAAGCGGAAGUUAAACUCUUAGCAAAAUGGCAGCACCUGGAAAGACAAAUGGAGCCAAACUACCUGGGUUCAAAUCCUGACUCCACCACACGCUACGGUUACCAAUGAUCCUGAUCUGCCCAAGGCUGAGGAGUUUCCCAGGAUAUGGGACUUUCACUGCUAAAACCAGGAUAGUCCCAUGCAAAGCAGCAUGGCUGAUCACCCUACUUGCUGCCAUGAGACUACCACCAUCCUCGAGGAUGAUAGAUCCCAAGGAGAGAGUGACCCAGUCAACAUCCAGCCCCAUCAGCAUGUGACUUAUCCAGCCCCAGUCCAGUCACCAGAUAAUAGCAAAUGCAUGAGUUAAUUCAGGUGAGACCAUCAGAACGAUCUAGCUGAACUUGUCUCAAAUUGCUGUCCUCUGUUGGAGUUUUUCUGCACAUA
rnacentral:lncRNA from 1 species